GAUGAACGCUAGCUACAGGCUUAACACAUGCAAGUCGAGGGGAAACGACAUCGAAAGCUUGCUUUUGAUGGGCGUCGACCGGCGCACGGGAGAGUAAUGCGUAUCCAACCUGCCUAUCACUUGUGAAUAACAUUGCGAAAGUAAGACGAAUACCCAAUGACAUCCCACGAAGACAUCGGAAUGGGAUGAAAGAUUUAUCGGUGAUGGAUGGGGAUGCGUCUGAUUAGCUUGUUGGCGGGGUAACGGCCCACCAAGGCAACGAUCAGUAGGGGUUCUGAGAGGAAGGUCCCCGACAUUGGAACUGGGACACUGUCCAAAGUCCUACGGGAGGGAGCAGUGAGGGAUAUUGGUCUAUGGGCGAGAGCCUGAACCAGCCAAGUAGCGUGCAGGAUGACGGCCCUAUGGGUUGUAACCUGCUUUUAUAAGGGAGUAAAGUGGGUUUCGUGAGACUUUUUGCCUGUACCUUAUGAAUAAGGACCGGCUAAUUCCGUG
rnacentral:rRNA from 1 species